GUGUCGUCGAUGCGUUAACCAAAGACCCUUGCUGACCCUCGGAAAGCGGAUCCUGCCUCGUCGAUACGGACAAAAAAAAAAGUGCGAAAUCUGAGGUCAAGCAUCAUUGGAACACGCUGAAUUUUCUGCGGGUGCAUCAGCCUGUGGAAAUGUCUAAGCCAGUUCUCUGAAUCGUGAAGUGUCCAAUUUGUUAUAACAGCCAGCCACAAUGCAAAACUCUCGGAGGUGCAUUAGAAACAUUUUGCUUAUGUAGUGGCGUGUUACUGAUUUAUUAAAAAUUCUUUGAAACCUUUGA